UACGUAGGGUGCGAGCGUUGUCCGGAAUUACUGGGCGUAAAGGGCUCGUAGGCGGCCAACUAAGUCAGACGUGAAAUCCCUCGGCUUAACCGGGGAACUGCGUCUGAUACUGGAUGGCUUGAGUUCGGGAGAGGGAUGCGGAAUUCCAGGUGUAGCGGUGAAAUGCGUAGAUAUCUGGAGGAACACCGGUGGCGAAGGCGGCAUCCUGGACCGAUACUGACGCUGAGGAGCGAAAGCCAGGGGAGCAAACGGG
rnacentral:rRNA from 1 species